UGCCAGCCGCCGCGGUAAUACGGAGGGUGCGAGCGUUAAUCGGAAUUACUGGGCGUAAAGCGCACGUAGGCGGUUCGUCAAGUCAGGUGUGAAAUCCCUCGGCUCAACCGGGGAGCUGCAUCUGAUACUGGCGAGCUCGAGGAUGGUAGGGGUGAGCGGAACUCCAGGUGGAGCGGUGAAAUGCGUAGAUAUCUGGAGGAACACCGGUGGCGAAGGCGGCUCACUGGACCAUCUCUGACGCUGAGGUGCGAAAGCCAGGGUAGCAAACGGGAUUAGAUA
rnacentral:rRNA from 1 species